UGUCGUCAGCUCGUGUCGUGAGAUGUUGGGUUAAGUCCGCAACCGAGCGCAACCCCUCGCAUUCAGUUGCCAUCGGGUAAUGCCGGGCACUCUGGAAGGACUGCCAUCGACAAGAUUGAGGAAGGUGGGGAUGACGUCAAGUCAUCAUGGCCCUUAUGUCCAGGGCGGCACACGUGCUACAAUGGCCGGCACAACGGGAAGCGAGUUCGCGAGGACGAGCGGAUCCCUUAAAGCCGGUCGCAGUUCGGAUUGAAGUCUGCAACUCGACUUCAUGAAGCUGGAAUCGCUAGUAAUCGUGGAUCAGCCAAGCCGCGGUGAAUACGUUCCCGGGCCUU
rnacentral:rRNA from 1 species